rnacentral:misc_RNA from 1 species
AACGCACAUUGCGCCUUCUGGUAUUCCGGAGGGCACGCCUGUUCGAGCGCCGUUUCAAAUCUAAGGCUUUGCCUUGUGUUGGUCAUUCUCCCGUUUGGGAGUGGCUGAAAAUCUCCGGCGCCCUUGUUCUGGCAGCAUCGUAGCAAAAUACGUAGCUCCAGCCCAAUGGCUGCCAAUGUCAAACCUUUGGCCUCGGAUCAGGCGAGAUUACCCGCUGAACUUAA